rnacentral:rRNA from 1 species
UACGAAGGGGGCUAGCGUUGUUCGGAAUUACUGGGCGUAAAGCGUACGUAGGCGGAUCGUUAAGUUAGGGGUGAAAUCCCGAGGCUCAACCUCGGAACUGCCUCUGAUACUGGCGAUCUUGAGUCCGGGAGAGGUGAGUGGAACUCCUAGUGUAGAGGUGAAAUUCGUAGAUAUUAGGAAGAACACCAGUGGCGAAGGCGGCUCACUGGCCCGGAACUGACGCUGAGGUACGAAAGCGUGGGGAGCAAAC